rnacentral:rRNA from 1 species
UACAGAGGCCUCGAGCGUUAGGCGGAAUCACUGGGCUUAAAGCGUGUGUAGGCGGAUGCCUAAGUACCUUGUGAAAUCCCACAGCUCAACUGUGGAACUGCUUGGUAUACUGGGUGUCUUGAGCCACUUAGGGGCUACCGGAACAAAUGGUGGAGCGGUGAAAUGCGUAGAUAUCAUUUGGAACGCCAAUGGUGAAAACAGGUAACUGGGAGUGUGCUGACGCUGAGACACGAAAGCCAGGGGAGCGAACGGG